rnacentral:rRNA from 1 species
AACGAACGCUGGCGGCAGGCCUAACACAUGCAAGUCGAGCGCGCCUUCGGGUGAGCGGCGGACGGGUGAGUAACGCGUGGGAAUAUGCCCUUCUCUACGGAAUAGUCCUGGGAAACUGGGGGUAAUACCGUAUACGCCCUUUGGGGGAAAGAUUUAUCGGGGAAGGAUUAGCCCGCGUUGGACUAGGUAGUUGGUGGGGUAAUGGCCUACCAAGCCGACGAUCCAUAGCUGGUUUGAGAGGAUGAUCAGCCACACUGGGACUGAGACACGGCCCAGACUCCUACGGGAGGCAGCAGUGGGGAAUCUUAGACAAUGGGGGCAACCCUGAUCUAGCCAUGCCGCGUGAGUGAUGAAGGCCUUAGGGUUGUAAAGCUCUUUCAGCUGGGAAGAUAAUGACGGUACCAGCAGAAGAAGCCCCGGCUAACUCCGUG